rnacentral:lncRNA from 1 species
AAUCUUCCCUCUUGGGAAGUCAGUUUUCUCAGAAGGAGCUGGAAAGGGGAACACAUGUUUGAGUCACUGCUGGUAAAAGCCUGGUCCUCCAUCCGAGCAGAGGCUCCAGCUCUGCUCCAUUACUGCUGUGUGAAGUACAUUCCCUAGCCAAGUUGCCCAAGUUGCUAAGAAAUUAUAGAAAUUUGAGUUGGGGGACGUUAGUAGAGAUUGAAGCAAUUACUGUGGCUUAAACCUACAAGGUAAUGAAGUUUGCAAACCCAAGGUUCUACACUUCUUUUUCCAUUAUCCAGAAAGACAUGAUUUUUCCUGGAAAGAAAAUCCCUGCGACAAUGGAAUAUCUUUUUAAAAAUCUACUCUACUAGCCAAAAUGGAGAAUUUAGGAGCCAUCAGCACCCCGGAGGGACAAUUUUUCAAAUCUUGUCAUUCAUUUAUUGCCUUUAAUACAGUUAAAUAAAGGUAUUCCAUGUACUCACUAUUAACUUUUAGGUACCUCGUGGUUGCUGUGCUUAGUAGUUAUUUAUGAGUUUGUUUUUUCUAGUUCAUAGCUUCCAUUGUCCCAAGAAGAUUUAUUUUAGCAACAUCUUCACUAACUUUUUCAGAGAAAGAAUAUCAUUGCCUUAUGGUUUGGUAUGAUCACAAAGUAUGCUGGAACAAGAGUCAAGGUUAUACUGUAGUGUGAAUCUCUACUGGUGACUAUAAGGUUACACAUACCACUAAGCUCCUUUAAGACUCAUUUUUUUCUAUCUGUCAAAUGGGAAUGUAACUUCUUCUGAAGUAUCACAUGCCAUACACAUAUCAGACAGAAUUCCGC